rnacentral:rRNA from 1 species
GACGAACGCUGGCGGCGUGCUUAACACAUGCAAGUCGAACGGAAAGGCCCUGCUUUUGUGGGGUGCUCGAGUGGCGAACGGGUGAGUAACACGUGAGUAACCUGCCCUUGACUUUGGGAUAACUUCAGGAAACUGGGGCUAAUACCGGAUAGGAGCUCCUGCUGCAUGGUGGGGGUUGGAAAGUUUCGGCGGUUGGGGAUGGACUCGCGGCUUAUCAGCUUGUUGGUGGGGUAGUGGCAUACCAAGGCUUUGACGGGUAGCCGGCCUGAGAGGGUGACCGGCCACAUUGGGACUGAGAUACGGCCCAGACUCCUACGGGAGGCAACAGUGGCGAAUAUUGCACAAUGGGCGGAAGCCUGAUGCAGCAACGCCGCGUGCGGGAUGACGGCCUUCGGGUUGUAAACCGCUUUCGCCUGUGACGAAGCGUGAGUGACGGUAAUGGGUAAAGAAGCACCGGCUAACUACGUG